rnacentral:rRNA from 1 species
GACAGAGGGGGCAAGCGUUGCUCGGAAUUACUGGGCGUAAAGGGCGCGUAGGCGGGAUGGCAAGUCGGUCGUGAAAUCCCUCGGCUCAACCGAGGAACGUCGAUCGAUACUGCUGUUCUUGAGGAUUGCAGAGGAGACUGGAAUUCCCGGUGUAGCGAUGAAAUGUGUAGAGAUCGGGAGGAACACCGGUGGCGAAGGCGGGUCUCUGGGCAAUUCCUGACGCUGAGGCGCGACAGCGUGGGGAGCAAACAGG